rnacentral:rRNA from 1 species
CGAUGGGAUGCGAAUCUCGAAAGCCUGUCUCAGUUCGGAUUGGAGGCUGAAACCCGCCUCCAUGAAGUUGGAUUCGCUAGUAAUCGCGCAUCAGCCAUGGCGCGGUGAAUACGUUCCCGGGCCUUGUACACACCGCCCGUCAAGCCAUGGAAGCUGGGGGUGCCUGAAGUUCGUGACCGGAAGGAGCGACCUAGGGCAAAACCGGUGACUGGGGCUAAGUCGUAACAAGGUACC